UACAGAGGGUGCGAGCGUUGUCCGGGAAUCACUGGGCGUAAAGGGCGCGUAGGCGGUCUGGUAAGCGUGUGGUGAAAGCUCGGGGCUCAACCCCGAGUCGGCCGUGCGAACUGCUGGACUGGAGCAUGUCAGAGGCAGGCGGAAUUCCGGGUGUAGCGGUGGGAAUGCGUAGAGAUCCGGAAGAACACCGGUGGGCGAAGGCGGCCUGCUGGGACAUGGCUGACGCUGAGGCGCGACAGCGUGGGGGAGCAAACAGG
rnacentral:rRNA from 1 species